rnacentral:lncRNA from 1 species
GAAGGGGCAGGCAGGGGUCAGAAGGAUGCAGACACUCUUACAUUGAGAUCUGCUGAUGGACCUGCCUCCUGCCAGUGCCAGACAGGAGCCUAACUUAACAGCCCUCUGAGAGACUCUACCCAGAAGAUGACUGAGACAGAUGGAUAUACCUACAGACAAACAUUGGACGGAGGUUGGGGACCUCCAUGGCAGAGUUAGGGAAGGAGAUGACAACCUCACAGGAAGACCAACAGUGUCAACUAAUCUGGACCUUCUAGGAGUUCACAGAGACAGAGCCACCAAGCAAAGAGCAUACAUAGGCUGGUCUGAGCCCCCUGAUUCCUAUGUAGCACAGGGCUGUCAUAUCUGGCUGCCUCAGUGGGAGAGGAUGUGCCUAAUCUUGCAGGGAUUUGGUGCACAAGGGUGCGUGUGAGAGAGCUACAGGGGGUGUGCUGCCCUCUUAGAGGAGGAGGGGAGGGGAAUGGGGAGGAGCUCUGUGAGGGUAGACCAGGAAGGGGGCAACAUUUG